UACGGAGGGUGCGAGCGUUGUCCGGAAUCACUGGGCGUAAAGGGCGCGUAGGCGGCCUGAUAAGUAGGGGGUGAAAUCCUGCGGCUUAACCGCAGGGCUGCCUUCUAAACUGUCAGGCUAGAGCACAGUAGAGGCAGGUGGAAUUCCCGGUGUAGCGGUGGAAUGCGUAGAGAUCGGGAAGAACAUCGGUGGCGAAAGCGCUCUGCUGGACUGCAACUGACACUCAGGGACGAAAGCUAGGGGAGCGAAUGGG
rnacentral:rRNA from 1 species